rnacentral:rRNA from 1 species
UACGUAGGGGGCAAGCGUUGUCCGGAAUCAUUGGGCGUAAAGCGCGUGUAGGCGGUUCGGUAAGUCUGCUGUGAAAGUCCAGGGCUCAACCCUGGGAUGCCGGUGGAUACUGUCGAACUAGAGUACGGAAGAGGCGAGUGGAAUUCCCGGUGUAGCGGUGAAAUGCGCAGAUAUCGGGAGGAACACCUAUGGCGAAGGCAGCUCGCUGGGACGGUACUGACGCUGAGACGCGAAAGCGUGGGGAGCAAACAGG